rnacentral:snoRNA from 1 species
UGUUGAAUGAUGAAAGCAAUCAGACGGAUUCCCACUGAUUUUUUAUGUGAUAUCACAACCAGCUACUUCUGACACCA